rnacentral:rRNA from 1 species
AGUGAACGCUGGCGGUAGGCCUAACACAUGCAAGUCGAACGGCAGCACAGUAAGAGCUUGCUCUUACGGGUGGCGAGUGGCGGACGGGUGAGGAAUACAUCGGAAUCUACUUUUUCGUGGGGGAUAACGUAGGGAAACUUACGCUAAUACCGCAUACGACCUACGGGUGAAAGCAGGGGAUCUUCGGACCUUGCGCGAUUGAAUGAGCCGAUGUCGGAUUAGCUAGUUGGCGGGGUAAAGGCCCACCAAGGCGACGAUCCGUAGCUGGUCUGAGAGGAUGAUCAGCCACACUGGAACUGAGACACGGUCCAGACUCCUACGGGAGGCAGCAGUGGGGAAUAUUGGACAAUGGGCGCAAGCCUGAUCCAGCCAUACCGCGUGGGUGAAGAAGGCCUUCGGGUUGUAAAGCCCUUUUGUUAGGAAAGAAAAGCAGCAUGUUAAUACCCCGCUGUUCUGACGGUACCCAAAGAAUAAGCACCGGCUAACUUCGUG